GACGAACGCUGGCGGCGUGCUUAACACAUGCAAGUCGAACGGAAAGGCCCUGCUUUUGUGGGGCGCUCGAGUGGCGAACGGGUGAGUAACACGUGAGUAACCUGCCCUUGACUUUGGGAUAACUUCAGGAAACUGGGGCUAAUACCGGAUAGGAGCUCCUGCUGCAUGGUGGGGGUUGGAAAGUUUCGGCGGUUGGGGAUGGACUCGCGGCUUAUCCGCUUGUUGGUGGGGUAGUGGCUUACCAAGGCUUUGACGGGUAGCCGGCCUGAGAGGGUGACCGGGCACAAUGGGACUGAGAGAGGGCCCAGAGUCGUACGGGAGGCAGCAGUGGGGAGUAUUGCGGAAUGGGCGGGAGCCUGUGGCAGCGGCGCCGGGUGCGGGAUGACGGCCUUCGGGUUGUAAACCGCUUUCGCCGGGGACGAGGCGUGAGUGACGGUAAUGGAUAAAGAAGCACCGGCUAACUACGUG
rnacentral:rRNA from 1 species